GUAAACAACCAAUUGCAAACUAAGGAAAAACGCAACCAAUAGGCAAAGUAUGCACAUCCUCUCCAUCGGAUUCCUUUUCAACAUCCCCCUCACAGUCGACGAUGGAAGCGCAGAAGUGCUACGCGGUCUCCGAGGACGAUUAUUCUGAUUGUCUCCUGACGGGGGAUCUUCCUCUUGUGAAGACAUUGAAGCCACCACCCAGAACUUUCUUUAUACAAUAUGAUGAGCAUCUGCGACGCUGUCGUUGUGGUGGAUUGUGGUCAUCGAAUCCAUCUCAUUGGCUAGACAAUAACAUCCGACCUUAUCUCGGUUGCCAUCCAAGCUCAGAUCAACCAUGAAGCCCAGUGAACGAUUUGCUUUGACGGUACAAUGGCUGAUGUACAAGGAUUUGAUGAAAUUAAACUCCUAUCUGAACUGCAA